UACCCCCUGGCAAUUUGCAAGGAGACACCUGAUUGGUGGUGUUGCUCUUUAUCAGUCAGGGCAAAGCAGAUUUAUGGUCCUUAGUUUAUCGUAGCUUGAUGCCUGUGUUGGUGGCCAGAGCUGUUUCAUGUCUGGGACACACUA
rfam:Myotis lucifugus cont2.21722, whole genome shotgun sequence.